rnacentral:lncRNA from 1 species
AGUUUAUGAACCAGGCAGCCCAAUCACAGUGCCUAAUUCUCCCUAUCACACAAUUGGUCAAGGAGGGAGCAAGUGACAUAAUCUAAAUUCUUUCCAAAGAUGGAUGCAAAUGCUGGGAAAGCAAGAGUUGAAUUGCUAGCCAUGAGGAAAACGUAAGCCUGAGCUGUUUGCUGGCCAUCUUUGCUUCCACAUGGGGAUGGCCUGCCUGGAAAUGAAGCCACACAGAGAAAACAGAAGAGCAGUGAAGAGAAGGGUAAAAGGAGAGAUCCCAUGACAUGAUUUGCACUCUUAGAUCCAGUUAUGCCUGAUGCAGGACCCACCCCUUGGACUUCCCAUUUCCAGGAGCUAAAACUAGACUGAGUUGAGUUUCUGUCACUGACAGUUGACAGAAAAUAUCAACAAUCCAGCCACAUGGAGCCUCAUGGCAGUACCACUAACCCUGGUCACCACAUGAAUACUGACCAGAGGCAUUUCACCUGAAUCAACUGUUUGUGUUCUUAACUCCAUCUCCUCAUCUGCUUCCUGGAAGACCCAACUGACAUAGAUGGUUACAAGAAAUGAUUUCCUCCUUAUAAAACUCUAGCUUCUUGUAUAGAAGAUACCUAAAAAGUGUUUGCUGAAUGAAGAAAUAAAGGAUUGCUCAGGCACCACUGGCACUUUAAGUUGUUCAGCAAGUACUCGUGCCUCUUAAGAACUGGCCAAGGGCCGGGCGUGGUGGUUCAUGCCUGUAAUCCCAGCAUUUUGGGACGCCGAGGCGGGCAGAUCACGAAGUCAGGAGUUCGAGACCAGCGUGGCCAACGUGGUGAAACCCCAUCUCUACUAAAAAUACAAAAACUUAGCCGGGUGUGGUGGCCUGCGCCUGUAGUCCCAGCUACUCGGGAGGCUGAGGCACAAGAAUUGCUUGAACCCACGAGGAGGAGCUUGCAGUAAGCCGAGAUCGCGCCAUUGCACUCCAGCCUGGGCAACAGGGCAAGACUCUGUCCUGAAAGAAAAAAAAAAAAAAAAAAAAAAAGAACUGGCCGAGGUCUUAGCUGGAGCACUCUCUCUACCCUGCAUGUUUGACUGCAUUUCUGUCCAUUUUCAAUCCGUUUUGGUUAUACGUUUUUUCACACAGGUCUGUUGAACUUAGAACACCGAAGGCCUGUGUAUUUUCAUGGCUCACAGCUCAUGUUGUGUUGACCUGCCCCACUGUGGUUAAUGUUUAGCCCCUAAACCACCAGCUGAAUGUCCUUAAAUCUGAAAGAAUAAUGAACACACGCCAACAGAUAGCUUAGGUUUAUUUGGUGACUUGCGCCACAUACUUUGCGAAUAUCAUCUCAGUCAUCCUUUUAGCAUCUCUCUCAGGCACAUACUCUCCUCUGUGGUGGCUCAUGCCGGUAAUCCCAGCCCUUUGGGAGGCCGAGGCGGGCAGAUCACUUGAGGCAAGGAGUUCGAGACCAGCCUGGCCAACACGGUGAAACCCCAUCUCUACUAAAAAUACAAAAAUUAGCCGGCUAUGGUGGCAUGCGCCUGUAAUCCCAGCUGCUCGAGAGGCUGAGGCAGGAGAAUCAUUUGAACCCAGGAGGCAGAGGUUGCAGUGAGCCUAGACUGCACCAUUGCACUUCAGCCUGGGUGAGACCCCAUCUCAAAUCAAUCAAUCAAUCAAUCAAUCAAUCAAUCAAUAAGGGAAAAGCUAUCACACAGCAGAAUACAGUCCAAGGGUAACUACUGAAGGGCCAGAUCAAGGAGCAAAGUCUAUCAUGUAUCAACCUUUACAGUGUCCCCAAGGGUCAGCUGUGUAUAGGGGCCCACACAGAAUUUGGAAUCCAAAUACAUCUCUGGAUCCCCAGGCCUGUGUUUGACUCGCCAGGUAGUAAUGAGAUGUCUCCAUUUUCUGCAGGCUGAAUGAUUCCCUCAGAGCAGAAGUAUAAGCAUAUUUAUUGUUUUUCCUUCUAUCAUAAACAGUUAUUAGUUGUGGCCCUUUCUCCCUUCCAAAUAGGUGCCCAAAUUUCUGGAAGUGGAAAGGGCCCAACUUUCCCAUAUCAGGGGGUGGGCCCCACUGGGCGUGAGCCAAUCAGUGUCUUCUGUCCUGUGAGCUCCCGAUUUAUGCUGGUCUAUAACCUGAGAUGGCCUUCUCAGGAUGGACCUCCAGGGAUUGCUGGAACUUGGACUCUUGUCAGCCUGGUAAAUGGUAUGUCUUAGAUCUGCUGCAGCCGUCGUGGAAAACUUGAAGCUGCCAGGAGAGAGGGGUUCCAACAUGUGGUGGCUAAAGAAUGAAUCCAACUCAAAGGAAGCAGAGCCAAGAAAUGGAUCCAUGCUGUUUGAAUCUUGGAUCAAAUUGUGCCUGGAUCUCCAGUGAGACAAUAAAUUCCUGUAUUACUC